GACGAACGCUGGCGGCGUGCUUAACACAUGCAAGUCGAACGAAGAGCGAUGGAAGCUUGCUUCUAUCAAUCUUAGUGGCGCACGGGUGAGUAACGCGUAAUCAACCUGCCCUUCAGAGGGGGACAACAGUUGGAAACGACUGCUAAUACCGCAUACGAUCUAAUCUCGGCAUCGAGGAUAGAUGAAAGGUGGCCUCUACAUGUAAGCUAUCACUGACGGAGGGGAUUGCGUCUGAUUAGCUAGUUGGAGGGGUAACGGCCCACCAAGGCGAUGAUCAGUAGCCGGUCUGAGAGGAUGAACGGCCACAUUGGGACUGAGACACGGCCCAGACUCCUACGGGAGGCAGCAGUGGGGAAUCUUCCGCAAUGGACGAAAGUCUGACGGAGCAACGCCGCGUGAGUGAUGACGGCCUUCGGGUUGUAAAGCUCUGUUAAUCGGGACGAAAGGCCUUCUUGCGAAUAGUGAGAAGGAUUGACGGUACCGUAAGAGAAAGCCACGGCUAACUACGUG
rnacentral:rRNA from 1 species